CCUACGGGAGACAGCAGUGGGGAAUAUUGCACAAUGGGGGCGACCCUGAUGCAGCGACGCCGCGUGAAUGAAGAAGUACUUCGUUAUGUAAAGCUCUAUCAACAGGGAAGAAAAUGACGGUACCUGAGUAAGAAGCCCCGGCUAACUACGUGCCAGCAGCCGCGGUAAUACGUAGGAGGCAAGCGUUAUCCGGAUUUACUGGGUGUAAAGGGAGCGUAGACGGCAGUGCAAGUCUGGAGUGAAAGGCGGAGGCUCAACCCCCGGACUGCUCUGGAAACUGUACGGCUGGAGUGCAGGAGAGGUAAGUGGAAUUCCUAGUGUAGCGGUGAAAUGCGUAGAUAUUAGGAGGAACACCAGUGGCGAAGGCGGCUUACUAGACUGUAACUGACGUUGAGGCUCGAAAGCGUGGGGAGCAAACAGGAUUAGAUACCCCAGUAGUC
rnacentral:rRNA from 1 species